rnacentral:rRNA from 1 species
UACAGAGGGUGCAAGCGUUAAUCGGAAUUACUGGGCGUAAAGCGUGCGUAGACGGUUGCGUAAGUCAGAUGUGAAAGCCCCGGGCUCAACCUGGGAAUUGCAUUUGAGACUGCGUAGCUAGGGUGCGGAAGAGGGAAGCGGAAUUUCCGGUGUAGCGGUGAAAUGCGUAGAUAUCGAGAGGAACACCUGCGGCGAAGGCGGGUUGCUGGGCUGACACUGACGCUGAUGCGCGAAAGCUAGGGGAGCGAACGGG